GGAGUACAGAAUGUUUCGGCCAAACUCCAUAUUUUACUCCAUAAUAAAAUUUAUUCUAUUUAUGGAAUAAUCUAUUCUUCUCUCUUAUCUCUCUCGUCUCUCUCAUCUUUUCUUGAAGUUACCGGCUUUCGGAUUUGCAGUCUCUGGCCAACGUCCAGUUCGCCGGCAUUGUGCCUUGUUUUGUCACCGACUUGUUUGGGGUUUGUCUCAGGUCAUCCAUGUGUGAAGAUUCAAGGUGUUGCGGUUAUCUGGAGAAGAGUAUGAAGAUUUAAAACUCUGGUCAUGUUCAGACGGUGUUUUAAGGAAUGCUCUAGUCCGAUUAACUGGGUUCUUAACUCUUGGUGUUUAAGCCUAAAUCUCAACAAUCUUUUGGGAUAAUCAAAGCAAAGGCUUCAAACGAUGCAAAUAAAAGUGAGUACGAGCUUGUUAAUUCUAAGUGGCUUUGCAUUUUCCGGUGAUGAUGGUGAGAUGGUGAUGAAGACUGCGGUGACGAAGUCACGAUGUGGUGGGGAUGAUGUCACGACGAAGUCAACAUGAUGUCAUACCUCUGGAUUCCUUUAGAAGCUCUACCAUUUAGGUUACACGUGUAAUGCACUAAAGAUAUAUAUUUCUUGUGUAAUCUAGAAACUGGGCUUUUCUUUGCAUUGUAAUCUUUAAAGCCCAUGUGGGCAUUAAUGAAAAUGUUGACCAAAAAAAAAAGUCUGCGUAU